AGGAUUACGUUGAUAACGAGGUGUCAAAUGACCCGGUUCAGUUUAGAGCGGAUUUGCGUCAUUUGGGUCAGAAGAACUAAAAUGGAUGCAGAGAAACGACAGGUAGUCUGUCAAAGAAAUUCUUAAUCUGCAUGGUUUGAGAGGCGAACACGGUAAUUUAACUUUAUAAAUAUCUGAUAAUGUGUAUAAUGUUGUUUUAUAUUGCUUUACGUCCACGAUGUGAUGUGCUAUUCAUGAUGUUGAUGGGAUUCGUUGUAUUUCUGUUACAACAUUUGCCUGCAUAACAUUAGAUAUUGACACGAGAGACGCAAAAUGCAUAUUUUGAAUAUAUGUUUUUUAUUUCUUGUAGUUUUCACGGUGUCUACAGUGUCUAUUCUAAAGAGAGAGAGUGAAUAAACAACAAAAGACAUCUGUAUGAAGCGUGGCCUUUAUUCUGUCAGACCAGUGCAGUUAAACCUGUAUUGGUAAGUCAGAAUCACACCCUGAGUGUCAGAGAUGGUCUCCACUGGCGGUUCCGUCUUCGUGACCGGGUUAUCAAUGGCUCCUGGUUACACUCAGAGCAGAGCGUCUGUCUUUCUGUGAUCCUGCUGGCAGGGCUGCCCAGUACGGAGAUGGAUCACUGCCCUUCUGUUGGAACAGGCACACAGCAAGCUACACCCAGACAUCAGCAGGCUACACCCAGACAUCAGCUGGCUACACCCAGACAUCGGCUGGCUACACCCAGACAUCGGCUGGCUACACCCAGACAUCGGCUGGCUACACCCAGACAUCGGCAGACUACACCCAGACAUCAGCAGGCUACACCCAGACAUCAGCAGGCUACACCCAGACAUCAGCAGGCUACACCCAGACAUCAGCAGGCUAAUGAGACAAAUCCAGAAGGGACAAUGGGAUUGAGUGAGAGAGAGAUGAAGGGAGAUGGAUGAGUAAGAGAGAAUCAGGAAAGGAUGAUAAAAUUUGAGUUAGUGUGACUGGCAAUAAAUGGACCCUGUGUAACUGGAUGUCUGGAGGAGGAGGAUGAGGAGAGGAUUAGAGAAGGAAGCUUUUACAUCCCUGUAUGGGAUGUGAGGAACGGAUUAACAGACUGAGAUCAAGACCGAAAAGGACUGGUUUAAAAUACAUACUGGUCCAAAGCACUACAUUCUGUGAAGUUAACACACACAAUUGUUUUACAAUGUAUUUGACAUGGAUCAUUCUGUAUAUAUAUAUCAAUAUGUUGAUAUAGAGUUAUUGGGCUUAUGUAGCUUCCCCAAACAAAUAAUGGAAAAUGAUUUGA